rnacentral:misc_RNA from 1 species
AACCUUAUGGACCUGCGGGCGUAUACCUGCGGAGGGAUCAUUACACAAUAAACAUAUGAAGGCUGCACCGCCAACAGGCGGCAAGGCUGGAGUAUUUUAUUACCCUUGUCUUUUGCGCACUUGUUGUUUCCUGGGCGGGUUCGCCCGCCUCCAGGACCACAUGAUAAACCUUUUUUAUGCAGUUGCAAUCAGCGUCAGUACAACAAAUGUAAAUCAUUUACAACUUUUAGCAAUGGAUCU